UCACUCUCUUGAUGGAUUGUCUCCAACC
rnacentral:piRNA from 1 species